rfam:Aedes aegypti strain Liverpool supercont1.14 genomic scaffold, whole genome shotgun sequence.
CCUUUCGUGGCGUAGCGGUAACGCGCCCUAUCUAGUUAAUUGGGAGUCGUGAGUUCGAUUCUCACCGAGAAGA